GUUUGUUUUUUUGAGCGUUCGGUGGAUGCCUUGGCAUCAGGGGCCGAUGAAGGACGUGGUGGCCUGCGAUAUUCCUCGGGGAGCCGGCUGGCGGGCUGUGAUCCGAGGGUUUCCGAAUGGGGGGACCCGGCACGAGUUAUGUCGUGUCACCUGCAUCUGAAUUGUAUAGGGUGUGGGGGGUGACGCGGGGAAGUGAAACAUCUCAGUACCCGUAGGAGAAGAUAUUCCGUGAGUAGUGGCGAGCGAAAGCGGAUGAUGGUUAAACCGUGUGCGUGUGAUACUCGGCAGGGGUUGCGUGUGCGGGGUUGUGGGGCUGUCCUGUCCUCUUCUGCCGGAGAGGGGGCGCGUGUGCUGGCUGGUAGCUGAAUCGUCUGGGAAGGCGUGGCGUAGUGGGUGAUACCCCCGUAGGCGGAACUGGUUGGUGCGUGUCUGGGAUGGUGUUGCCCGAGUAGCACGGGGCUCGUGGAAUCCUGUGUGAAUCUGCCAAGACCACUUGGCUGCCUGAAUACCUCCUGAUGACCGAUAGUGGAUAGUACCGUGAGGGAAUGGUGAAAAGUACCCCGGGAGGGGAGUGAAAUAGUACCUGAAACCGGGCGCUUACAAGCCGUCAGAGCCUCCCGCAUGUUUUUUGUGUGUGGGGGUGGUGGCGUGCCUUUUGAAGAAUGAGCCUGCGAGUCAGUGGCGUGUCGCGAGGUUAACCCGUGUGGGGUAGCCGUAGCGAGAGCGAGUCCGAAUAGGGCGAGUGUAGUGGCGCGUUCUGGACCCGAAGCGGGGUGAUCUACCCAUGGCCAGGUUGAAGCACGUGUAAGAGCGUGUGGAGGACCGAACCCACCUAGGUUGAAAACUGGGGGGAUGAGCUGUGGGUAGGGGUGAAAGGCCAAUCAAACUCCGUGAUAGCUGGUUCUCCCCGAAAUGCAUUUAGGUGCAGCGUCGCGUGUUGCCCGGCGGAGGUAGAGCUACUGGGUGGCUGAUGGGCCCCACAGGGUUACUGACGUCAACCAAACUCCGAAUGCCGUUCGGGUUGUAGCGUGGCAGUGAGACUGCGGGGGAUAAGCUCCGUGGUCGAGAGGGAAACAGCCCAGAUCGCCGGCUAAGGCCCCUAAGCGUGUGCUAAGUGGGAAAGGAUGUGCGGUCGCGCAGACAACCAGGAGGUUGGCUUAGAAGCAGCCAUCCUUGAAAGAGUGCGUAAUAGCUCACUGGUCAAGUGAUCGUGCGCCGACAAUGUAGCGGGGCUCAAGCACACCGCCGAAGCCGCGGACCCAUGACAGUGUUCCUUUCACCGUCCGGCUUGCCCGGGUGGUGGCAGGGGUUGUGGGUGGUAGGGGAGCGUCCUGCACCGGGGGAAGCCUGUGGGUGACUGCUGGUGGACGGUGCGGGAGUGAGAAUGCAGGCAUGAGUAGCGAUACUAGGGUGAGAAGCCCUAGCGCCGAAUGACCAAGGGUUCCAGGGCCAGGCUAGUCCGCCCUGGGUGAGUCGGGACCUAAGGCGAGGCCGACAGGCGUAGUCGAUGGAUGACGGGUUGAUAUUCCCGUACCGGCGAAGCACCGCCCAUGCUGACGCGCGGGUGCUAACCCACGCCCGGCCGCCAUAAUGGCCGCGCCUACUCCUUUCGGGGGGUGGUGUGGUUGUGGUGGUGGGGUCUGGGGACCCUCCGUGCAGGUAGGCAAGCGUGUUAACAGGGGUGACGCACAGUGGUAGCCCGGCGGACCUGAUGGCUUGGUCCGUUCAAGCGCGCAGCCCGUCCUCCAGGUAAAUCCGGAGUGGCUGUCUUUGAUGACGGGGGUGAGGCGUGAUGGUGACCCCACGCUGGUGGGGGAUAACAGGGUGAUCCUGGGGUGCCGAGAAAAGCCUCGACGCGAUGGUGCCAGCCGCCCGUACCCUAAACCGACACAGGUGGUCGGGCAGAGUAUGCCUAGGCGCACGAGUGAAUCAUGGUUAAGGAACUCGGCAAAAUGCCCCCGUAACUUCGGGAGAAGGGGGGCCCGAACCCUGAAGCCCCUUUUGCGGGCUAGGGGGGAGGGUCGCAGAGGCCAGGGGGAAGCGACUGUUUACUAAAAACACAGGUCCGUGCGAAGCCGUAAGGCGAUGUAUACGGACUGACGCCUGCCCGGUGCUGGAAGGUUAAGAGGAACCAUCAGCCCCCUCUUGGGGGUGAAGUGGUGAAUUUAAGCCCCAGUAAACGGCGGUGGUAACUAUAACCAUCCUAAGGUAGCGAAAUUCCUUGUCGGGUAAGUUCCGACCUGCACGAAUGGCGUAACGACUUCCCCGCUGUCUCAACCAUGAGCUCGGCGAAAUUGCAGUACGAGUAAAGAUGCUCGUUUCGCGCAGAAGGACGGAAAGACCCCGGGACCUUUACUACAGCUUGGUAUUGGCGCCCGCUAUAGCUUGUGCAGGAUAGGUGGGAGACUGUGAAGCCGCCACGCCAGUGGUGGUGGAGUCGUCCUUGAAAUACCACUCUGGUUAUGGCGUGCGCCUGAACCUGGGCCCGUGAUCCGGGUUAGGGACAGUGCCUGGUGGGUAGUUUAACUGGGGCGGUUGCCUCCUAAAGUGUAACGGAGGCGCUCAAAGGUUCCCUCAGCCUGGUCGGCAACCAGGUGUUGAGUGCAAGUGCACAAGGGAGCUUGACUGUGAGACCGACGGGUCGAGCAGGUACGAAAGUAGGAACUAGUGAUCCGGCGAUCCCGUGUGGGUGGGUCGUCGCUCAACGGAUAAAAGGUACCCCGGGGAUAACAGGCUGAUCCUGCCCAAGAGUCCAUAUCGACGGCAUGGUUUGGCACCUCGAUGUCGGCUCGUCGCAUCCUGGGGCUGGAGCAGGUCCCAAGGGUUGGGCUGUUCGCCCAUUAAAGCGGUACGCGAGCUGGGUUUAGAACGUCGUGAGACAGUUCGGUCCCUAUCCUCUGCGCGCGCAGGAGACUUGAGAAGGCCUGUCCCUAGUACGAGAGGACCGGGACGGACGAACCUCUGGUGUGCCAGUUGUCCCGCCCGGGGCACGGCUGGUUGGCUACGUUCGGGAAGGGUAACCGCUGAAAGCAUCUAAGCGGGAAACCAUCUUCAAGAUAAGGUCUCCACAAGAAGGACUUGUCCUUCUUGGUAGGCCCCCAGCAGACUACUGGGUUGAUAGGCCAGGAGUGGAAGACCGGCAACGGUUGACUGAGCUGACUGGUACUAAUAGGCCAACACAAACAACAAC
rnacentral:rRNA from 1 species